UCCUCGGUGGCUCAGAUGGAUAGAGCGUCUGCCAUGUAAGCAGGAGAUCCUGGGUUCGAGUCCCGGUUGGGGCA
rnacentral:tRNA from 1 species